ACCUCAGUAAGGAUAGCUCAGUUGGCAGAGCACGACAGAGCAUUAAUCUCAGAGUUGUGGGUUCGAGCCCCACAUUGGGCA